CCAAUAGCGUAUAUUAAAGUUGCUGCAGUUAAAAAGCUCGUAGUUGAAUUUCGGGACCAUCAUGUCGGUCGUGCCUCGGUACGUACUGGUAUUGUUGGUUUCUCCCUUCUGACGAACCAUGAUGUCAUUUAUUUGGUGUUGUGGGGAAUCAGGACUGUUACUUUGAAAAAAUUAGAGUGUUUAAAGCAGGCUCACGCUUGAAUACAUUAGCAUGGAAUAAUGAAAUAGGACGUUUGAUUCUAUUUUGUUGGUUUCUAGGAUCGACGUAAUGAUUAAUAGGGAUAGUUGGGGGCAUUAGUAUUCAAUUGUCAGAGGUGAAAUUCUUGGAUUUAUUGAAGACUAACUACUGCGAAAGCAUUUGCCAAGGAUGUUUUCAUUAAUCAAGAACGAAAGUUAGGGGAUCGAAGACGAUCAGAUACCGUCGUAGUCUUAACCAUAAACUAUGCCGACUAGGGAUCGGAUGAUGUUAAUUUUUUAAUGACUCAUUCGGCGCCUUACG
rnacentral:ncRNA from 2 species